GUGCUGGUGACACUCAGCAUGGUCACAAGGAUUCAUUGAUUCAUCAAGCCAACGAAUAACCAGUGAGGAUGCUUUGGGUGUGAGACACUGUUCUAGAUGCUUUUCUGUCUACAAACCAAUCUAAAAAGAAUCAAAACAUAACUAUAAAUCAAACUCCUCUGCUCAGCUCACUGGAACAGUUAUUCGACUUCAUGGAAUGAAGUAUUGUCCUUCUCCAGAAUGGAAACUAAAGGCAAUGAAGAUCUUUAAGCUAAAUUGUUGUGAUUCGGGGUUCUGCUCCAGCAAAAAAUCUUUUACCAGUAGCAUCUUCUUGACCUUGGAUACCAAGCCUCCAGAACUAAAAACCAUCCAAAGAAGUUUCCAGUGAAUGCAGACGCGGGCCCUCUUCCUCUGGAUGAGCUGGGAUAAAGUUCAGGAGCAGGAAAGCGUCUGUCAGGACCUGCUGCCGGAGGGAGCCACUAACGGAUGAGGCACA